rnacentral:rRNA from 1 species
GACGAACGCUGGCGGCGUGCCUAAUACAUGCAAGUCGAGCGCAGGAAAUCGACGGAACCCUUCGGGGGAGCUUGCUCCUUCCAGUUUAGCGGCGGACGGGUGAGUAACACGUGGGCAACCUGCCCUGCAGAUCGGGAUAACUCCGGGAAACCGGUGCUAAUACCGAAUAGUUUGGCGCCUCUCCUGAGGCGCUACGGAAAGAUGGUUUCGGCUAUCACUAUGGGAUGGGCCCGCGGCGCAUUAGCUAGUUGGUGAGGUAACGGCCCACCAAGGCGACGAUGCGUAGCCGACCUGAGAGGGUGAUCGGCCACACUGGACUGAGACACGGCCCAGACUCCUACGGGAGGCAGCAGUAGGGAAUCUUCCACAAUGGACGAAAGUCUGAUGGAGCAACGCCGCGUGAGUGAAGAAGGAUUUCGGUUCGUAAAACUCUGUUGCAAGGGAAGAACAAGUAGCGUAGUAACUGGCGCUACCUUGACGGUACCUUGUUAGAAAGCCACGGCUAACUACGUGCCAGCAGCCGCGGUAA